AGCAGCCGCGGUAAUUCCAGCUCCAAUAGCGUGUAUUAAAGUUGCUGCAGUUAAAAAGCUCGUAGUUGAAUUUCGGGACCAAUAUGUCGGUCGUGCUUCGGUACGUACUGUCAUAAUUGGUUUCUCCCUUCUGAAGAACCUUGAUGUCAUUAAUUUGGUGUCUUGGGGAAUCAGGACUGUUACUUUGAAAAAUUAGAGUGUUUAAAGCAGGCUCGCGCUUGAAUACAUUAGCAUGGAAUAAUGAAAUAGGACGUUUGAUUCUAUUUUGUUGGUUUCUAGGAUCGACGUAAUGAUUAAUAGGGAUAGUUGGGGGCAUUAGUAUUCAAUUGUCAGAGGUGAAAUUCUUGGAUUUAUUGAAGACUAACUACUGCGAAGGCAUUUGCCAAGGAUGUUUUCAUUAAUACAAGAACGAAAGUUAGGGGAUCGAAGACGAUCAGAUACCGUCGUAGUCUUAACCAUAAACUAUAGCC
rnacentral:rRNA from 1 species